UACGGAGGGUGCAAGCGUUGCUCGGAUUUACUGGGCGUAAAGCGUACGCAGACGGUCAGGCAAGUCGGGUGUGAAAGCCCCGGGCUCAACCCGGGAACUGCAUCCGAAACCAUCUUGCUAGAGUAUGAGAGAGGGAAGCGGAAUUCCUGGUGUAGAGGUGAAAUUCGUAGAUAUCAGGAGGAACAUCUGCGGCGAAGGCGGCUUCCUGGCUCAUUACUGACGUUCAGGCACGAAAGCGUGGGUAGCAAACAGG
rnacentral:rRNA from 1 species